rnacentral:rRNA from 1 species
CAAUAGCGUAUAUUAAAGUUGUUGCGGUUAAAAAGCUCGUAGUUGGAUUUCUGCCGAGGACGUCCGGUCCGCCCUCUGGGUGAGUACAUGGCACGGCCUGGGCAUCUUCUUGGGGAACGUAUCUGCACUUGACUGUGUGGUGCGGUAUCCAGGACUUUUACUUUGAGGAAAUUAGAGUGUUUCAAGCAGGCACACGCCUUGAAUACAUUAGCAUGGAAUAAUAAGAUAGGACCUCGGUUCUAUUUUGUUGGUUUCUAGAGCUGAGGUAAUGAUUAAUAGGGAUAGUUGGGGGCAUUCGUAUUUAACUGUCAGAGGUGAAAUUCUUGGAUUUGUUAAAGACGGAUUACUGCGAAAGCAUUUGCCAAGGAUGUUUUCAUUGA